rnacentral:lncRNA from 1 species
GGAAGAAAUUCUUCCUGGGUGAAAUUACAAAUAUGUGUAGAAUAUAUUUAAUAAAAAUCUUAUAAAAUACUUAACUAUAGAAUUUAAAUAUAGAUUGGCGUGUAGUAUAAUAGAACAAUAUUCCAUAUAAAUAGCUUUAGCUUUCACACAAAUUAAAGUCACAGGCGGACCUUGUGUUCUGUAUUUAAUAAGUGUCCACAGCCCUUAAACAUACAGGUAAACGUUUCCAGAUGGUCAACAUCAUUUAAAUGUAAUCAGGUUAUUUUAUUCAUUGUUAUUGCUUUGAUGAAAAGGCUUUAUAUGCAGUAGAUCUACAAAAGUAUUGUUCAUACUGAUCAGAAUUAAAUUUGUAUAGAGCAGAGUUUUAAAACAAAUUGUAAAUAGUACUAAACAUUUUCUUUCUGCAACCUGUACUGAUAAAAUCCUUCUGUAAACUAAAUAAAAGAAUAUUGUAGUGCAUUUGGGUGGUAAUUUUAGAGGUCCUUGAUUAGAUCAAUAAUUGUUUAAGCAGUUGUCAUCAUGUUUAAAAACUAUGUUUUUUAUUGGUAUUUUCUUCCGAGUCUUGUUUUUUAAAUUACUUAAUAUAUUAUUAUUUAGUUUGUGAUGUUCCCAAUGUAUUUCUUUGGUAUUUAAUCUGAUUUAUUUCCACACAGUUACUACAUUGAAAAAAUUUAUGUAGUCUGUGUUCUCAUUAAAAAUAUUGUAUUCAUAGAUACUAAAUAUUUAUAUUCUUAUUAUUUAUGCUCUAGUUCACAUAAGUGUCAUAUCAAUGUAAUUAAAGAAUAGUCUGACAAUUUACUUGGUUAGGCAAAUGCCCCAUUGUUGACUUUUGUUGGACCAUUGUAAUAGUCUCCCAACAGUUCUUCUUGCUUCAUUCUCCCCCUAGUAUAAUUUAUACUAAUUGCAUAGCUGAUCAUAUAAAUUGUUCUAAUAAGUCCUCUUGCCUUCACCUCCAUCCUUAACACUGUAGCUGUAGUCCUCCAAACACUUUUCUGUAGUCAGUCCUCAUUGUUUACAGGUCCUUUUCCUGUCAAUUGAGGCCAGCCAUAGUCUGGUACCAUCAUUAUAUACCACCAUAGGCUGUAGUGACAGCCUAACCUCAAAUGCAGGUCCUUCCACCUGCUUUACGCUCCAACCAGUCUGACCUACUCUUUGUUUCUCAGUCUUGCACUUUUUUGCCUCUUUACUUUUCUCAACCUGUUCCAUGUCCGUAAUGUCUUGUCUGUUCUUCUUCAAGCUUUGAAUUUCUACUUCUUUUUUAAAGCGCGACUCAAAUAACCAUCUCUGUGAAAUUUGUUUCCCUGACUCUCCCU